AUUGAACGCUGGCGGCAUGCCUUACACAUGCAAGUCGAACGGUAACAGGUCUUCGGAUGCUGACGAGUGGCGAACGGGUGAGUAAUACAUCGGAACGUGCCUAGUAGUGGGGGAUAACUACUAGAAAGAGUGGCUAAUACCGCAUGAGAUCUCCGGAUGAAAGCAGGGGAUCGCAAGACCUUGUGCUACUAGAGCGGCCGAGGGCAGAUUAGGUAGUUGGUGGGAUAAAAGCUUACCAAGCCGACGAUCUGUAGCUGGUCUGAGAGGACGAUCAGCCACACUGGGACUGAGACACGGCCCAGACUCCUACGGGAGGCAGCAGUGGGGAAUUUUGGACAAUGGGCGCAAGCCUGAUCCAGCAAUGCCGCGUGCAGGAUGAAGGCCUUCGGGUUGUAAACUGCUUUUGUACGGAACGAAAAGCCCUGGGUUAAUACCCUGGGGUCAUGACGGUACCGUAAGAAUAAGCACCGGCUAACUACGUGCCAGCCGCCGCCGUAAAAC
rnacentral:rRNA from 1 species